UACGUAGGGGGCAAGCGUUGUCCGGAUUCAUUGGGCGUAAAGAGCGUGUAGGCGGCCAGGUAGGUCGGUUGUGAAAACUGGAGGCUCAACCUUCAGAGGUCGACCGAAACCAUCUGGCUAGAGUCCGGGAGAGGAGAGUGGAAUUCCUGGUGUAGCGGUGAAAUGCGCAGAUAUCAGGAAGAACACCCGCGGCGAAAGCGGCUCUCUGGACCGGUACUGACGCUGAGACGCGAAAGCGUGGGGAGCGAACAGG
rnacentral:rRNA from 1 species